UUUUCUGUGGCGCAGGCGCGCGCAUGCGCGUUUCCAUAAUGCUGCGUCGACUGCUCCACCACCAUUUUAUACUUUAUGAGAUCGUCAGAAUACAUACCCAUGUUAUGACUUUGCAAAGGUGUUUUACAUUUUACGUACCAUUUUCGUCUUUUUAUCAAUAUAUUUUUAUCCUUUCAUUUUUCAAUUAGAACUAGGUUAGAUUCUGUUCGUAUAAUCUUGUCCCACGAUAGGAAUACGAAUGAAUAGUUACAAUCUGAAAAAGGGAACAGUAUGACUUUUCACGGAUAUUAUCAUAGGAACAGAGACGAUGACGAAUAUUGAGGUAUUGCGCAUUUUCCAUUUUCCGUCAUUUCCUGCUCUAUACAGCAAAUUGCGAUUGAAUAAUGGACAUCGAGCAUCUAAUAAUUGCUGAAUAAAACCUGUAUUUUUCGCACAA